rnacentral:rRNA from 1 species
GACGAACGCUGGCGGCGUGCCUAAUACAUGCAAGUCGAACGAACUCUGGUAUUGAUUGGUGCUUGCAUCAUGAUUUACAUUUGAGUGAGUGGCGAACUGGUGAGUAACACGUGGGAAACCUGCCCAGAAGCGGGGGAUAACACCUGGAAACAGAUGCUAAUACCGCAUAACAACUUGGACCGCAUGGUCCGAGNUUGAAAGAUGGCUUCGGCUAUCACUUUUGGAUGGUCCCGCGGCGUAUUAGCUAGAUGGUGGGGUAACGGCUCACCAUGGCAAUGAUACGUAGCCGACCUGAGAGGGUAAUCGGCCACAUUGGGACUGAGACACGGCCCAAACUCCUACGGGAGGCAGCAGUAGGGAAUCUUCCACAAUGGACGAAAGUCUGAUGGAGCAACGCCGCGUGAGUGAAGAAGGGUUUCGGCUCGUAAAACUCUGUUGUUAAAGAAGAACAUAUCUGAGAGUAACUGUUCAGGUAUUGACGGUAUUUAACCAGAAAGCCACGGCUAACUACGUGCCAGCAGCCGCGGUAAUACGUAGGUGGCAAGCGUUGUCCGGAUUUAUUGGGCGUAAAGCGAGCGCAGGCGGUUUUUUAAGUCUGAUGUGAAAGCCUUCGGCUCAACCGAAGAAGUGCAUCGGAAACUGGGAAACUUGAGUGCAGAAGAGGACAGUGGAACUCCAUGUGUAGCGGUGAAAUGCGUAGAUAUAUGGAAGAACACCAGUGGCGAAGGCGGCUGUCUGGUCUGUAACUGACGCUGAGGCUCGAAAGUAUGGGUAGCAAACAGGAUUAGAUACCCUGGUAGUCCAUACCGUAAACGAUGAAUGCUAAGUGUUGGAGGGUUUCCGCCCUUCAGUGCUGCAGCUAACGCAUUAAGCAUUCCGCCUGGGGAGUACGGCCGCAAGGCUGAAACUCAAAGGAAUUGACGGGGGCCCGCACAAGCGGUGGAGCAUGUGGUUUAAUUCGAAGCUACGCGAAGAACCUUACCAGGUCUUGACAUACUAUGCAAAUCUAAGAGAUUAGACGUUCCCUUCGGGGACAUGGAUACAGGUGGUGCAUGGUUGUCGUCAGCUCGUGUCGUGAGAUGUUGGGUUAAGUCCCGCAACGAGCGCAACCCUUAUUAUCAGUUGCCAGCAUUAAGUUGGGCACUCUGGUGAGACUGCCGGUGACAAACCGGAGGAAGGUGGGGAUGACGUCAAAUCAUCAUGCCCCUUAUGACCUGGGCUACACACGUGCUACAAUGGAUGGUACAACGAGUUGCGAACUCGCGAGAGUAAGCUAAUCUCUUAAAGCCAUUCUCAGUUCGGAUUGUAGGCUGCAACUCGCCUACAUGAAGUCGGAAUCGCUAGUAAUCGCGGAUCAGCAUGCCGCGGUGAAUACGUUCCCGGGCCUUGUACACACCGCCCGUCACACCAUGAGAGUUUGUAACACCCAAAGUCGGUGGGGUAACCUUUUAGGAACCAGCCGCCUAAGGNGGGACAGAUGAUUAGGGUGAAG